rnacentral:rRNA from 1 species
GAUGAACGCUGGCGGCGUGCCUAAUACAUGCAAGUCGUACGGAAAGGCCCUUCGGGGUACUCGAGUGGCGGACGGCUGAGUAACGCGUGGGAACGUGCCCCAAAGUGAGGGAUAACGCACCGAAAGGUGUGCUAAUACCGCAUAUGGUCUUCGGAUUAAAGCUUCGGCGCUUUGGGAGCGGCCCGCGUACGAUUAGAUAGUUGGUGAGGUAAUGGCUCACCAAGUCGACGUUCGUUAGCUGGUCUGAGAGGAUGAUCAGCCAGACUGGGACUGAGACACGGCCCAGACUCCUACGGGAGGCAGCUGUAAGGAAUCUUCCACAAUGGGGGCAACCCUGAUGGAGCAACGCCGCGUGCAGGAUGAAGGUUUUCGGAUCGUAAACUGCUUUUAUAAGUGAAGAAUAUGACGGUAACUUAUGAAUAAGGAUCGGCUAACUACGUGCCAGCCGCCGCCGUAA